AUAGAAUUGUUUUUACCUUUAUUUGUGGUCUUUCUCUUCUACCUCUCCUCCCCGGUUUCAAGGAUGACAAACGGGGGCUAAAUUUUUCAUGGCAUAAUAAGGUUCAUCAUCUUUUCAUAUGGAUUGGAAACUGACCCACAUGAUAACUGUAUGAACGUUGUGGAAGAUUAUGCUCCAGCUCCGGCUGCCUCACCAUUUUCUAUCUGGAAUGAAAGCCUUUGCCUUUUUGUACUUAUUAUAGAAUAUCUUUUUGCUCUUUUUGGCAGUUAUUGGAUCUUCCUGGUAUUAUUGAGGGUGCUAAAGAUGGAAAGGGUAGGGGUAGGCAGGUCAUCAGUACUGCUCGCACAUGUAACUGUAUUCUUAUCGUUUUGGAUGCACUGAAGCCAAUUACUCACAAACGGCUCAUUGAGAAAGAGCUUGAGGGAUUUGGUAUAAGGCUGAACAAGGAACCACCAAAUCUGACAUUUCGGAAGAAAGAUAAGGGUGGGAUCAAUCUUACAUCAACAGUUGCCAACACUCAUCUGGAUCUUGAUACAGUGAAAGCAAUAUGCAGUGAAUACAGGAUACACAAUGCUGAUAUUCAUCUUAGGUAUGAUGCAACUGCUGAUGACCUCAUAGAUGUCAUUGAGGGC